GUGCUGACCGUGCUGAGAUGAGUGGUUCGGCGAGGCGGACCUUGGAAACACCUACAUGGCCAUCACGACUGAAGUGGUGUUCACCGACAGGUAAAAUGCAGGUGCAACCUUCACAGACUGACAGAGAUUGAGUGAUAACAGACACUGGAGACCCUCCAGGCGAUGGCUGGUGACCGCCUGCCACCAUCCACAGGUUGUCACACAAGGAGCCCUGGGAGUAACCUUGCCGGAAGCCCCGCGGGCCGCAGUGCGUGGCUGGCGUUAUACAGCCCCCAGCCAUCGCCUGGAGACAUCCAGUGUCUGUUAUCACUCACCUUAGGUAGUCUGUGAAGGUCCAGUCAUCACUGGUGCACGUGUAUCUUACCUGUGAUCAACACCGGCAGCCACAGACUCCUGCCCAAUGAACGAACACAGUGAUCGUGAUGACAUUGACAACAACGAGCAGGUCCUCCUAGACCUAGAGUGACCUCAAGCUGGGCCAAACAUGAUGUGGAAGAAGAAAUCAGUUGUCUCCAUCAGUCGGGUUUGUGCCAUGGCAGCUUUUUCC